UGAAGAGGGGUAUAUCUGGUGCGAUACAAAGCCUGUUGUCAUCAUCUAGUGGCCAGAGUAUCAGCAGUACAGUGGAAGUGUGACUAGCCGCGUGAAGAAGGUUACGAGUCAUAAGUGCAGUUGACUGUGAAUAAUGCACUAAACAAACAUGUGAAAAUGUUACAAGUUAUUAAUUCAUAAAAAUGAGUGCUCUUUGGGAUCGUUGCGGAAAAAACCGGAAAUAAUGCAAUGCCGUUUUUUUUUUGAAUUACAAGCUCUGUAUAAAAAGUUAAAUUCACUGGCUCAAUUGUAAAAAAAUGCUCACGGGUAUGCCACUUUCACUCUCCAUUAACCACCCGGCGACGACCGACGACGACCGGCCGACAGUGCAACGUCGGAAGCGUGGCGUCCUUGUUGCUUCAGAUGUGUGAGUGCAUGCAAAGUUAUGCUUAUGCAUGCCAUGCUGACUGGUGCGAAAUUCCACGCGUCACAUGAGUUUGGGGGGAAAAUACAGGUGGAAAAAGUAGUUCAACAACAUCCAAUUGGUUUGUUUUAGUGAAACCACUAAUUCUCUUUUUUUAAUUUAUAGUAUGUAUGUUUGCUGCUUGGUAUAUUGUACAUAUAUAUAAUUAGCCUACCGCCAGAUUUUUUUAUCAAACUAUUGUUUGAAACUGUAUAAAAAAUAGAAUAAAACGCAAAGGGCGAUUUUCAAAUUGGUAGCGUAGCUGAAUAGUUAGUUUUUGUAAUGCUAGUAUACUGAAGACUCGAGUUAUGAACUUUUUUAAACAUUAGCAAUCUCUAAUUCUGCAUUUUGCAUCGUCAUCAAAUUAUUAUUGAAUAUUGAGAAUACUACUCAAACCUCAAAUGUUGUUCAAGAAUUUAAAAUGUAUUAAACAAAGAUUUGUUAGUUACAAAGAAAUAAUGAAAUAAGUGAUUAAAAGUGUGAUUGUAUAAUCCUUCUCUCGAUAUUUAGGUCGGAAAUCCAAGCGUAAAGAAAACUUAUCAAAACUUUUUCAGAACAGAUGAACUCAUGUUGCGUGUUUGUGUGUGUAUUCAGGAACGCAAUUGAAACAAGAUCUAAAAAAAUGUGAAAGUAAGAAAACUCGAUUUUUGUUAAAUUGCUCCAACAGGGCUAAAAAAAAGUAUCAAUUAUCAGUUUAAUCUAAAAUGGAUAGCUAUAGAAUCGAGCAUGUUUUUUGAAAGUUCAUCGAAAAUUUUACAAAGCCUAUUUCUGAAAUACUAACCGAGAAACCAGUUCAUCUCACGCGUCUGUUUUUUACCAAAGGUAUUUGAUAAUAUAAUUGAUAUAUGGUAUAGAUAGAGUAACUAAGUUCAAACUGGCGUCUUUCUUAUUUUUAAUGACUAUAAUGCAAGUCAAGCUAUUUUUAUUUCUAUUUCAAGCAGUAACUAUGGAGUAGACGAUUGGAAAAUGUACUAACUGGGAAAUUAGUUAAUUAGAAAUUUAUGAAAAAUAUAGUCCAGCAA